GCAAUGGAAAGCCCUGAUGGAGCCCGGUGUAAACUAUGCAGGGUGCCAGAGCCCCCACUGACAGCGCUGGUGUCCACAUGUGGUCACAGGGAUACAGCGGCAGCAUCCCAAAGCCCUAGCCUGGUCCAUCACCCUCAAAACUGCCUCUGGUAAUAGAACCUUCUUCAACUAGUUUAAGCAGUCAAGCCUUUUAUAUAUUUGGUGGCUCACAGAAUCUCCAGCAGGGCUGAAGAGUCAGGCGUGGAAGAGACACACCCAGGAACAACUCACCAACCACUCCUGACCCGGCUUCUCCACUGGAGACACCAUUGCCAUUAGACAAGAAUGAACCUGCACACCUUGCUGAUGCUGGUGUAGCACUGUCGCUAGAACCUCUGCCUCUGCUCCUCUUGGUCUCCCACAUUCAGUACCUCCUUCUUCACCUUGGUCUCUUCUAAGCCUCCGCCCCUCCCACAAUGGAUAGGGCUGACCUGUGUAACCAACAGGAUGUUGCAGAAAUGACAUAGUGUGACUUCAACACUAAGUCACAUAAGACAUCGCAACUUCUGCCUUGCUCUUUUGGAGCACUUGUUGUAGGGAAAACCAGCUGCCAUGUCAUAAGGACACUUAAGCAAUGCUCUGGAGAGAUCUACAUGGCAAAGAACUGAGGCCUCCUGCCAACCCCCAGCACAAAUGAGCCAGGCAUGCAAGACAUCAUCUUGGAAAGGGAUCCUGCAGCCUCACUUGAGCCUUCAGAUGAUGCAGCUCCAGCUGACAUCUUGGCUGCAACCUCAUGAGGGACCCUGGGCCAGCACCACCCAGCCAAGCUGCUCCAGACACCUGAUCCACAAAAACUUUGUGAGAUAAUAAAAUAAAAUACAUUUUAACAUUUUUUGCUUACA
rnacentral:lncRNA from 1 species